UACGGGGGGGGCAAGCGUUGUUCGGAAUUACUGGGCGUAAAGGGCUCGUAGGUGGCCAACUAAGUCAGACGUGAAAUCCCUCGGCUUAACCGGGGAACUGCGUCUGAUACUGGACGGCUUGAGUUUGGGAGAGGGACGCGGAAUUCCAGGUGUAGCGGUGAAAUGCGUAGAUAUCUGGAGGAACACCGGUGGCGAAGGCGGCGUUCUGGACUGCAACUGACACUGAGGAACGAAAGCCAGGGGAGCAAACGGG
rnacentral:rRNA from 1 species